ACCAUCGAGUCUUUGACGCAGUUGCGCCCGAAGCCUUUCGGCCGAGGGCACGUCUGCCUGGGCGUCACGCACGCCGUCGCCCCCCCGCCCGCGCCUUCCCCCCGGGGACGGGCGCGCGCGCGGCGGGGCGGAAGUUGGCCCCCCGUGCCCGCGAGGGCGCGGUCGGCCCAAAAAGAGGGAUCCCGGUGGCAGCGGUCACGGCCGGUGGUGGUUGUCAAACCUUCGCGUCCCGGCGAGUGCCCUCCCACCGAUCGGAGAGCCCCCAGCGACCCUCGAGCGGGCGAAGCCCCACGACGCGACCCCAGGUCAGGCGGGACUACCCGCUGAGUUUAAGCAUAUCAAUAAGCGGAGGAAGAGAAACUAACCAGGAUUCCCCUAGUAACGGCGAGCGAACCGGAAGAGCCCAGCUGAGAGAAUCGGCGGCCCCCCCGUCCGAAUUGUAGUCU
rnacentral:misc_RNA from 1 species